GAUGAACGCUGGCGGCAUGCCUAAGACAUGCAAGUCGAACGAAGUGGCCCAAGGAAGUGGAGUGCUUGCACAAAGCGGAAUUGGAUUCCCACUUAGUGGCAGACGGGUGAGUAACACGUGGGUAACCUACCGAAGAGACUGGGAUAACAGUUAGAAAUGACUGCUAAUACCGGAUAAUUCAUCUUUACACAAGUAGAGGUGCUAAAAGGAGCGUAUGCUUCACUUUUCGAUGGGCUUGCGUUGUAUUAGCUAGUUGGUGAGGUAAUGGCCCACCAAGGCGACGAUGCAUAUCCGGGCUGAGAGGCUGAACGGACACACUGGGACUGAGACACGGCCCAG
rnacentral:rRNA from 1 species